AGUGAACGCUGGCGGUAGGCCUAACACAUGCAAGUCGAACGGCAGCACAGUAAGAGCUUGCUCUUACGGGUGGCGAGUGGCGGACGGGUGAGGAAUACAUCGGAAUCUACUUUUUCGUGGGGGAUAACGUAGGGAAACUUACGCUAAUACCGCAUACGACCUACGGGUGAAAGCAGGGGAUCUUCGGACCUUGCGCGAUUGAAUGAGCCGAUGUCGGAUUAGCUAGUUGGCGGGGUAAAGGCCCACCAAGGCGACGAUCCGUAGCUGGUCUGAGAGGAUGAUCAGCCACAGUGGAACUGAGACACGGUCCAGACUCCUACGGGAGGCAGCAGUGGGGAAUAUUGGACACUGGGCGCAAGCCUGAUCCAGCCAUACCGCGUGGGUGAAGAAGGCCUUCGGGUUGUAAAGCCCUUUUGUUGGGAAAGAAAAGCAGCAGGUUAAUACCCCGCUGUUCUGACGGAACCCAAAGAAUAAGCACCGGCUAACUUCGU
rnacentral:rRNA from 1 species